rnacentral:lncRNA from 1 species
GCGUGUAUAAUAUGAUGUUCACAGGUUUUAAAAAAACUGUGAGUCCAUGACUGCAUCGCUAUUGCAAUUGUAGCCACAUCAACUGUAUUUGUUAACGAUUUUAUGUAAUAUUAAAACGCAACAAAACUGCAGUGGCAGCCGCAGUUUGAAACUUUCUUCUCAUACCAUAUUCUCUGAUAGAUAUUAAUAUUAAUUUGCUUGUAUAUAUGAUGGCUAUUAUUAACCUUUGUAUUUUGCAGUUAGACGUGCACUGCCGCUGUGGCUGUUGGACACUACAAAUCUGUUUGUUGAUGGUACGAGGAGGUUAGAAUGAAAGGGUUUAAGUUUAACUUUUGCGCAAGUGCAAUUCAUUCCGUACCGAUACCUCUUGUUCAAAAGCUUGCAUUUGAUUUGCUACACUGCCUCUGAGAUAUAAUUAGAGAG